rnacentral:rRNA from 1 species
GAUGAACGCUAGCGGCAGGCCUAACACAUGCAAGUCGAGGGGUAACAGGUAGAAAGCUUGCUUUCUAUGCUGACGACCGGCGCACGGGUGAGUAACGCGUAUGCAACCUACCUUUAACAGGAGGAUAGCCCCGAGAAGUCGGGAUUAAUACUCCGUAACAUUAUGAUACCGCAUGGUAUUAUAAUUAAAGUUUCGACGGUUAAAGAUGGGCAUGCGUGACAUUAGUUAGUUGGUGAGGUAACGGCUCACCAAGACAACGAUGUCUAGGGGUUCUGAGAGGAUUGUCCCCCACACUGGUACUGAGACACGGACCAG